rnacentral:rRNA from 1 species
AACGAACGCUGGCGGCAGGCUUAACACAUGCAAGUCGAACGGAUCCUUCGGGAUUAGUGGCAGACGGGUGAGUAACGCGUGGGAACGUACCCUUUGCUGCGGAAUAACUCAGGGAAACUUGAGCUAAUACCGUAUGUGCCCUACGGGGGAAAGAUUUAUCGGCAAAGGAUCGGCCCGCGUUGGAUUAGCUAGUUGGUGGGGUAAUGGCCUACCAAGGCGACGAUCCAUAGCUGGUCUGAGAGGAUGAUCAGCCACACUGGGACUGAGACACGGCCCAGACUCCUACGGGAGGCAGCAGUGGGGAAUAUUGGACAAUGGGCGCAAGCCUGAUCCAGCCAUGCCGCGUGAGUGAUGAAGGUCUUAGGAUUGUAAAGCUCUUUCACCGGUGAAGAUAAUGACGGUAGCCGGAGAAGAAGCCCCGGCUAACUUCGUG